rnacentral:rRNA from 1 species
GAUGAACGCUAGCGGCAGGCUUAAUACAUGCAAGUCGAGGGACAGCACAGGUAGCAAUACUGGGUGGUAACCGGCAAACGGGUGCGGAACACGUACACAACCUUCCUUUAAGUGGGGGAUAGCCCAGAGAAAUUUGGAUUAAUACCCCGUAAUAUAGUUGAAUGGCAUCAUUUGAUUAUUAUAGCUACGGCGCUUAAUGAUGGGUGUGCGGCUGAUUAGAUAGUUGGCGGGGUAACGGCCCACCAAGUCUACGAUCAGUAGCUGAUGUGAGAGCAUGAUCAGCCACACGGGCACUGAGACACGGGCCCGACUCCUACGGGAGGCAGCAGUAAGGAAUAUUGGUCAAUGGACGCAAGUCUGAACCAGCCAUGCCGCGUGAAGGAUUAAGGUCCUCUGAAUUGUAAACUUCUUUUAUUUGGGACGAAAAAGGGUCUUUCUAGAUCAACUGACGGUACCAGAUGAAUAAGCACCGGCUAACUCCGUGCCAGCCGCCGCAGUAAGAC